AAAACAUCGCCUCUUGCAACAUAACUAAGUAUAAGAGGUCCAGCCUGCCCAGUGACAAAGUUUUUAACGGCCGCGGUAUUUUGACCGUGCAAAGGUAGCGCAAUCACUUGUCUUUUAAAUAAAGACCUGUAUGAAAGGCCAAACGAGGGCUUAGCUGUCUCCCAUUUCCAGUCAGUAAAAUUGAUCUACCCGUGCAGAAGCGGGUAUAUAAAUACAAGACGAGAAGACCCUUUGGAGCUUAAGGUUAAAAUUUAACCACGUCAAGCAAUUAACACAAUAAUAGUAAACCUAGUGGUACAUAAAUUACACCUUCAGUUGGGGCGACCAUGGAGGAAAAAAGAGCCUCCAAGUGGAAUGGGAUAAUUCCCCAGAACCAAGAGAUACAUCUCCAAGCCACAGAACAUCUGACCAUAAAUGAUCCGGCUAAAAGCCGAUCAGCGAACCAAGUUACCCUAGGGAUAACAGCGCAAUCCUCUCCCAGAGCCCAUAUCAACGAGAGGGUUUACGACCUCGAUGUUGGAUCAGGACAUCCUAGUGGUGCAACCGCUAUUAAGGGUUCGUUUGUUCAACGAUUAACAGUCCUACGUGA
rnacentral:rRNA from 1 species